UGGGGAAUCUUGCACAAUGGGGGCAACCCUGAUGCAGCGACGCCGCGUGAGCGAUGAAGCCCUUCGGGGCGUAAAGCUCUUUCGACCGGAACGAUAAUGACGGUACCGGGAGAAGAAGCUGCGGCUAACUACGUGCCAGCAGCCGCGGUAAUACAUAGGCAGCAAGCGUUGUUCGGAGUUACUGGGCGUAGAGAGUGCGUAGGCGGUUUUCUAAGUUCGGUGUGAAAUCUCCCGGCUUAACUGGGAGGGUGCGCCGAAGACUGGGAAGCUGGAGUGUGGGAAAGGCAGGCGGAAUUCCUGGUGUAGCGGUGAAAUGCGUAGAUAUCAGGAGGAACACCGGCGGUGUAGACGGCUUGCUAGACCAUAACUGACGCUGAGGCACGAAAGCGUGGGUAGCAAACA
rnacentral:rRNA from 1 species